rnacentral:rRNA from 1 species
ACUCCUACGGGAGGCAGCAGUGGGGAAUAUUGCACAAUGGGCGCAAGCCUGAUGCAGCCAUGCCGCGUGUGUGAAGAAGGCCUUCGGGUUGUAAAGCACUUUCAGCAGUGAGGAAGGCGGAGUCGUUAAUAGCGGCCUCGUUUGUACGUUAGCUGCAGAAGAAGCACCGGCUAACUCCGUGCCAGCAGCCGCGGUAAUACGGAGGGUGCGAGCGUUAAUCGGAAUUACUGGGCGUAAAGCGCAUGCAGGUGGUUUGUUAAGUCAGAUGUGAAAGCCCGGGGCGUCAACCUCGGAAUAGCAUUUGAAACUGGCAGACUAGAGUACUGUAGAGGGGGGUAGAAUUUCAGGUGUAGCGGUGAAAUGCGUAGAGAUCUGAAGGAUACCGGUGGCAAGGGCGGCCCCCUGGACAGAUACUGACACUCAGAUGCGAAAGCGUGGGGAGCAAACAGGAUUAGAUACCCUGGUAGGAUAGCG